rnacentral:rRNA from 1 species
UACGAAGGGUGCAAGCGUUACUCGGAAUUACUGGGCGUAAAGCGUGCGUAGGUGGUGAGUUAAGUCGAACGUGAAAUCCCCGGGCUCAACCCGGGAACUGCGUCCGAUACUGGCAGGCUUGAAUCCGGGAGAGGGAUGCGGAAUUCCAGGUGUAGCGGUGAAAUGCGUAGAUAUCUGGAGGAACACCGGUGGCGAAGGCGGCAUCCUGGACCGGUAUUGACGCUGAGGCGCGAAAGCCAGGGGAGCAAACGGG